AUUAUUCUUGGCAGAGCACAGUGACCUUGAAGAAGGUGGACUGGACCUGACUGUGUCAUUGAAACCAGUUAGUUUCUAUAUAUCAGACAAAAAAGAAAUGCUUCAGCAGUGCUUCUGUAUUAUAGGAGAGAAAAAGUUACAGAAGAUGCUUCCUGAUGUGUUAAAGAACUGUUCAAUAGAAGAAAUUAAAAAACUAUGCCAGGAACAGUUAGAGCUCCUGUCUGAAAAAAAAAUUUUGAAGAUUCUUGAGGGUGACAAUGGAAUGGACUCUGAUAUGGAAGAGGAAGCAGAUGAUGGUUCUAAGAUGGGAUCUGAUUUAGUCAGUCAUCAAUUUACUGCCUCAUCCUGCUGCUCAAGCACUGGGUUAGAUGAUUAGCAG
rnacentral:ncRNA from 2 species